UACGUAGGGUGCGAGCGUUGUCCGGAAUUAUUGGGCGUAAAGGGCUCGUAGGCGGUUUGUCGCGUCGGGAGUGAAAACUCAGGGCUUAACCCUGAGCCUGCUUCCGAUACGGGCAGACUAGAGGUAUGCAGGGGAGAACGGAAUUCCUGGUGUAGCGGUGAAAUGCGCAGAUAUCAGGAGGAACACCGGUGGCGAAGGCGGUUCUCUGGGCAUUACCUGACGCUGAGGAGCGAAAGUGUGGGGAGCGAACAGGAUUAGAAACCCCCGUAGUCC
rnacentral:rRNA from 1 species